GCAAGUCGAACGAGGUAGCAAUACCUAGUGGCGCACGGGUGAGUAACGCGUGGAUAAUCUGCCCUUCACUGGGGAAUAACUAAUCGAAAGGUUAGCUAAUACCGCAUGAGGCCACAGUUUCUGAGGAAGCAGUGGUUAAAGAUUUAUUGGUGAAGGAUGAGUCUGCGUGGGAUUAGCUAGUUGGUGAGGUAAUGGCUCACCAAGGCUACGAUCUCUAACAGGUCUGAGAGGAUGACCUGUCACACUGGAACUGAGACACGGUCCAGACUCCUACGGGAGGCAGCAGUAGGGAAUAUUGCGCAAUGGACGAAAGUCUGACGCAGCGACGCCGCGUGAGUGAUGAAGGCCUUAGGGUCGUAAAGCUCUGUUGCAGGGGAAGAAAAAAAUGACGGUACCCUGCGAGAAAGGAUCGGCUAACUUCGUGCCAGCAGCCGCGGUAAGACGAGGGAUCCUAGCGUUGUUCGGAAUCAUUGGGCGUAAAGCGCAUGUAGGCUGCCAUUCAAGUCAGUUGUGAAAGCCCCGGGCUCAACCCGGGAAGUGCUUCUGAUACUGUUUGGCUUGAGUACUAGAGAGGAUAGUAGAAUUCCAGGUGUAGUGGUGAAAUACGUAGAUAUCUGGAGGAAUACCG
rnacentral:rRNA from 1 species